rnacentral:rRNA from 1 species
GAUGAACGCUAGCUACAGGCUUAACACAUGCAAGUCGAGGGGUAACAAGAGAAAAGCUUGCUUUUCUUGUUGACGACCGGCGCACGGGUGAGUAACGCGUAUCCAACCUGCCUAUAACUAGGGAAUAACCUUGCGAAAGUAAGACUAAUGCCCUAUGACUUCCUUUGGCGGCAUCAAAAAAGGAAUAAAGAUUUAUCGGUUAUAGAUGGGGAUGCGUCUGAUUAGCUUGUUGGCGGGGUAACGGCCCACCAAGGCAACGAUCAGUAGGGGUUCUGAGAGGAAGGUCCCCCACAUUGGAACUGAGACACGGUCCAAACUCCUACGGGAGGCAGCAGUGGGGAAUAUUGGUCAAUGGGCGGAAGCCUGAACCAGCCAAGUAGCGUGCAGGAUGACGGCCCUAUGGGUUGUAAACUGCUUUUAUACAGGGAUAAAGUUAGCCACGUGUGGUUAUUUGCAGGUACUGUAUGAAUAAGGACCGGCUAAUUCCGUGCCAGCAGCCGCCGUAACAC